rnacentral:rRNA from 1 species
UACGGAGGGAGCUAGCGUUAUUCGGAAUUACUGGGCGUAAAGCGCACGUAGGCGGCUUUGUAAGUUAGAGGUGAAAGCCCAGGGCUCAACCCUGGAAUUGCCUUUAAGACUGCAUCGCUUGAACAUCGGAGAGGUAAGUGGAAUUCCGAGUGUAGAGGUGAAAUUCGUAGAUAUUCGCAAGAACACCAGUGGCGAAGGCGGGUCUCUGGACAGUUCCUGACACUGAGACACGAAGGCCAGGGGGAGCAAACGGG